rnacentral:rRNA from 1 species
GCUUUUGGAGGGGGGUGCGUCCUAUCAGGUAGUUGGUGUGGUAAUAGCUCACCAAGCCUAUGACGGGUAGCCGGUCUGAGAGGAUGUCCGGCCGCAAUGGAACUGAGACACGGUCCAUACUCCUACGGGAGGCAGCAGUGGGGAAUCUUGCGCAAUGGGCGAAAGCCUGACGCAGCAAUCCCGCGUGAAGGAUGAAGCAUUAUGGUGUGUAAACUUCUUUUCUGGUGGAAGACGAAUGACGGUACACCAGGAAUAAGGGACGGCUAACUACGUGCCAGCAGCCGCGGUAAUACGUAGGUCCCAAGUGUUAUCCGGAAUUACUGGGCGUAAAGAGUCUGUAGCCGGGUUUGUAAGUCUGUUUUCAAAUCCUAUGGCUUAACCAUAGAGAGGGAAUGGAUACUGCAAACCUUGAGAUUAUUGGGGGUUGAUGGAAUUUCCGGUGGAGCGGUGAAAUGCGUUGAUAUCGGAAGGAACGCCAAAAGUGAAAGCAGUCAACUACAAUAAAUCUGACGGUCAGAGACGAAAGCUUGGGGAGCAAACGGGAUUAGAUACCCCGGUAGUCCAAGCCGUAAAUUAUGCAUGCUAGGUGUCUUGUUCACUUUAUGUGAGCGGGGUGCCGUAAUCUAACGAGUUAAGCAUGCCGCCUGGGUAGUAUAUUCGCAAGAAUGAAACUCAAAGGGAUAGGCGGGGGAACACACAAGCAGUGGAUUGUCUCGAUUAAUUGGAUAAUAAGCCAAGAAUCUUACCUAGACUUGACAUAUAUUGUGUCCUACGUGAAAGUGUAGUAAUCCCGAUUUUGUCGGGAUACGAUAUACAGGUGGUGCAUGGUCGUCGUCAGCUCGUGCCGCAAGAUGUCCAGUUAAGUCUGGGAACGAGCGCAACCCU